AUGCCAUACCUAUGUUUCCCUAUCGCCCGUGAUAGGGUCCUCACUGCCAUCCAUCUGGUGGCUGAGCCAGCUCCAAAAUCCCACUUGAGAGAUCCUUGGACCACCCCCUGGUACCAUCUGUUGCAGAUUCGGGGGUCCUGGGUAUGGAACCCCAUCCCCACCAUGCCGAAGGCGGAGGAAGUGAGCCUUGACCACGCCAGAAUGUUCCGUCCCCGGGAGCAUGAGCACCUGUGCCAAGAGGAUGUUUCAGCCUGGAACCUUGGCCUUCUUUUUCCCUGCCCUUUGCCUCUGCUCAGCCAAGGCCAUGCCCAAGGCCAGGUCCAGGGCUCCGGCCACCACAGCAGUCUACCUGCCAAUCCUGCCUCCCACAUGGAGCAGACAGUCAGCCCUGUGACUGCCCCACCCCGCUCCCCUCUUGGCUACCGGCUGGGAGUCAGACACUCUAGGCCCAGCAAGUCCCACUUGUUUUGAAAAAAAUUUUAUUGAAAUACAGUUGAUUUGUGGUGUUGUGUUAGUUUCAGGUGUAGUGAUUCCAUUAUGCACACACGUGUGAGUGCUCACGUGGUUCAGGUGUGUCCGACUCUCUGCGACCCCGUGGACUGUAGCCUGCCAG
rnacentral:lncRNA from 1 species